rnacentral:rRNA from 1 species
UACGUAGGGGGCAAGCGUUAUCCGGAAUUACUGGGCGUAAAGCGCACGCAGGCGGUUCGCCAAGUUUGGAGUGACAGUUGUCGGCUCAACCGACAAAGGACUUCAAAAACUGGUGAACUUGAGGACGAGAGAGGAACAUGGAACUCCAGGUGUAGCAGUGAAAUGCGUAGAUAUCUGGAAGAACACCAAUGGCGAAGGCAAUGUUCUGGCUCGUUUCUGACGCUCAGGUGCGAAAGCCAGGGGAGCGAACGGG